GAUAUAAUAUAUAGCAUGGUGUCGUCUCCUGUCAGAGAUUUUCAUUGUAAUAUGAAACUUUGAAUAGUUACGGGUCUCUGUAAAGACCUCACUAUAGACGGCGCCACGGUUCGCUUAAACCGAAAAUAAAAAUCAUCAUAUCAAAAAUUUCGCUUUAGCGGGUACAUCGUUCCAUAGCUUAAUUAUCUAGAGCGCCGACACGGUCAGUCGGAGACGCGGGUUCGAACCCCGCUGGAGCGGUCAAUUUUUGAUAUGAUAUUCAAAAAUGUUUAGAAUUCCUAAUGUGGGGGUAACACAAAAAUAAAAUCGUAGGUAUUAAUAAUAGCAUGGUGUCGUCUCCUGUCAAAGAUUUUCAUUGUAAUAUGAAACUUUGAAUAGUUACGGGUCUCUGUAAAGAACUCACUAUAGACGGCGCCACGGUUCGCUUAAACCGAAAAUAAAAAUCAUCAUAUCAAAAAUUUCGCUCUAGCCGGUACAUCGUUCCAUAGCUUAAUUGGCUAGAGCGCCGACACGGUCAGUCCGAGACGCGGGUUCGAAUCCCGCUGGAGCGGUCAAUUUUUGAUAUGAUAUUCAAAAAUGUUUAGAAUUCCUAAUGUUGGGGUAGCACAAAAAUAAAAUCGUAGGUA
rnacentral:misc_RNA from 1 species